ensembl:lncRNA
UUUUUGGGUUACGUUUUGGGUAGGGUUAGGUUUAGGAAUAGGGUUAGAGUUAGGGUAUCGGUUAUGGGUCGAGUCAGGGUUCGUGUAGGUUGAGGGUUAGAUUUAGAGUAGGGUUCAUGUUAUGGUCAGGGUAGGGUUCACAGUAGGGUUAGGGUUAGGGUCGUUUUUGGGUUACGUUUUGGGUAGGGUUAGGUUUAGGGAUAGGGUUAGAUUUAGGGUAUCGGUUAUGGGUCGAGUCAGGGUUCGUGUAGUUUGAGGGUUAGGUUUAGGGUUAGGGUGAGUGUUAGGGAUAGGGUUAGGGUUACGGUUACGGUUGUGGAUAGAAUUAUGGUAAGUGUAGUGUCC